AGAAUACUUUGUUUACUGUUAGUUUGUCAAGAAACUGAAAGUGAAUCCAAUUAUUAUUAACAUUAAGUGGCUAAAAUUGGUGACUAAGUGAUAAAUGUUGAGUUGAGGAUACCAUCUCAGAAUUCUUCUAGCUCUUCUGAAUACAUGUAUGCCCACCAAGACCCCAGAACAUAAAGAAAUACAUCCAGAAGAAAACUUUGAAGUCCGGAAGCUAAAGCACAGGAGAAGAUCAAAACCUAUGCAUCCAUUUGGUAUCUGCAUUUAUUUAGUCCGAUCUAAUUAUUAAAACUUACAGGCAACUUCAGUUCAAAAAUAUUCACUGGUGUUUGUACAAGUUAGCAUUUUCAGAAUAUUGAAGGCUGAAGUCCAAAACAAACUUAAGAAUGAAUGUUCUUCUGAAUAAAAAAUGGCCU